UGCUACUAGCCUACCGCUUCGAGGAUUCCACAACCAACAAUAUAAUCAUUUAAACAAGAAAAGGAUGCACAAGCUCUACCAAUUCGAGAUAUGCAAUAAAUUGGAGAAUCCUUCAUAUUCUAUCAUCAACAUUCAUGAGUGUCAAAUUGAGAAAUAAUCUUUCAAUAGUAACACAUUUACAUUCAUAACAUGAUCACAUUAUCUUCAUUGAAUGUCCAUUCAUAAAAAUGUCAUGUAACACUUAAAUUUCUCAUACUAUGCCUUCAAGGCCAUGGUCACAAUACAUUCCAUAAUUAAACACCUCCACCAUAAGUGGAUCAAACCAAGCAAGAACAAUUUUUUUAUCCAUAAUAUGAGAUUAAGCCAACUUACCAUCCU
rnacentral:lncRNA from 1 species